rnacentral:rRNA from 1 species
AUUCCAGCUCCAAUAGCGUAAAUUAAAGUUGUUGCAGUUAAAAAGCUCGUAGUUGGAUCUCAGGGUGAGCUCAGUUGGUCGGCCUAAUUGGUCAGAACUGGCUGACUCUCCCUUGUUUCUGAAUCCCGGUCGGAGUUAAUUCUUCGUUCGUGGACUUCAGAUCGUUUACCUUGAAAAAAUUAGAGUAUUCAAAGCGGGCGUUUGCUUGAAUACAUUAGCAUGGAAUAAUGGAAUAGGACCCUGGUUCUAUUUUGUUGGUUUUGAGGACCAGAGUAAUGAUUAAUAGGGAUAGUUGGGGGCAUUCAUAUUUAAUUGUCAGAGGUGAAAUUCUUGGAUUUAUGAAAGAUGAACUUCUGCGAAAGCAUUUGCCAAGGAUGUUUUCAUUG